rnacentral:rRNA from 1 species
UACGAAGGGGGGCUAGCGUUGUUCGGAAUCACUGGGCGUAAAGGGCGCGUAGGCGGCCGAUCAAGUCGGGGGUGAAAGCCUGUGGCUCAACCACAGAAUUGCCUUCGAUACUGUUUGGCUUGAGACCGGAAGAGGUUAGUGGAACUGCGAGUGUAGAGGUGAAAUUCGUAGAUAUUCGCGAAGAACACCAGUGGCGAAGG